UACGUAGGGGGCUAGCGUUGUCCGGAAUCAUUGGGCGUAAAGAGCGCGUAGGCGGCCAGAUAAGUCCGGUGUAAAAGUCACAGGCUCAACCUGUGAAUGCCGCUGGAAACUGUCUGGCUUGAGUCCGGGAGGGGCGAGUGGAAUUCCUGGUGUAGCGGUGAAAUGCGCAGAUAUCGGGAGGAACACCAAUGGCGAAGGCAGCUCGCUGGGACGUUACUGACACUGAGGCGCGAAAGCGUGGGGAGCGAACAGG
rnacentral:rRNA from 1 species